GAUGAAGAACGUAGCGAAAUGCGAUAAGUAAUGUGAAUUGCAGAAUUCAGUGAAUCAUCGAAUCUUUGAACGCACCUUGCGCCCUUUGGCCAUUCCGAAGGGCAUGCCUGUUUGAGUAUCAUGAACACCUCAACUCUUCAUGGUUUUCCAUGAUGAGCUUGGACUUUGGGGGUCUUGCUGGCCUGUGGGUCGGCUCCUCUCAAAUGAAUCAGCUUGCCGGUUUUUGGUGGGCAUCACAGGUGUGAUAACUAUCUACGCUUGUGGUUUUCCACCAGGUAACCUUCAGUGAUGAAGGUUCGCUGGGGCUCAUAAACGUCUCUCCUCAGUGAGGACAGCUCUUUGAACGUUUGAUCUCAAAUCAGGUAGGACUACCCGCUGAACUUAAGCAUAUCAAUAAGCGGAGGA
rnacentral:misc_RNA from 1 species